rnacentral:rRNA from 1 species
UUAAGCGACUAAGCGUACACGGUGGAUGCCCUGGCAGUCAGAGGCGAUGAAGGACGUGCUAAUCUGCGAAAAGCGCCGGCGAGGUGAUAUGAACCUUUGACCCGGCGAUGUCCGAAUGGGGAAACCCAGUGCAAUUCGUUGCACUAUCGUUAACUGAAUACAUAGGUUAACGAGGCGAACCGGGGGAACUGAAACAUCUAAGUACCCCGAGGAAAAGAAAUCAACCGAGAUUCCCCCAGUAGCGGCGAGCGAACGGGGAGCAGCCCAGAGUCUGAAUCAGCUUGUGUGUUAGUGGAAGCGUCUGGAAAGUCGCACGGUACAGGGUGACAGUCCCGUACACGAAAGCACACAGGUUGUGAACUCGAAGAGUAGGGCGGGACACGUGGUAUCCUGUCUGAAUAUGGGGGGACCAUCCUCCAAGGCUAAAUACUCCUGACUGACCGAUAGUGAACCAGUACCGUGAGGGAAAGGCGAAAAGAACCCCGGCGAGGGGAGUGAAAAAGAACCUGAAACCGUGUACGUACAAGCAGUGGGAGCACCUUCGUGGUGUGACUGCGUACCUUUUGUAUAAUGGGUCAGCGACUUAUAUUCUGUAGCAAGGUUAACCGUAUAGGGGAGCCGAAGGGAAACCGAGUCUUAACUGGGCGUUAAGUUGCAGGGUAUAGACCCGAAACCCGGUGAUCUAGCCAUGGGCAGGUUGAAGGUUGGGUAACACUAACUGGAGGACCGAACCGACUAAUGUUGAAAAAUUAGCGGAUGACUUGUGGCUGGGGGUGAAAGGCCAAUCAAACCGGGAGAUAGCUGGUUCUCCCCGAAAGCUAUUUAGGUAGCGCCUCGUGAACUCAUCUUCGGGGGUAGAGCACUGUUUCGGCUAGGGGGCCAUCCCGGCUUACCAACCCGAUGCAAACUACGAAUACCGAAGAAUGUUAUCACGGGAGACACACGGCGGGUGCUAACGUCCGUCGUGAAGAGGGAAACAACCCAGACCGCCAGCUAAGGUCCCAAAGUCAUGGUUAAGUGGGAAACGAUGUGGGAAGGCACAGACAGCCAGGAUGUUGGCUUAGAAGCAGCCAUCAUUUAAAGAAAGCGUAAUAGCUCACUGGUCGAGUCGGCCUGCGCGGAAGAUGUAACGGGGCUAAACCAUGCACCGAAGCUGCGGCAGCGACGCUUAUGCGUUGUUGGGUAGGGGAGCGUUCUGUAAGCCGUUGAAGGUGUGCUGUGAGGCAUGCUGGAGGUAUCAGAAGUGCGAAUGCUGACAUAAGUAACGAUAAAGCGGGUGAAAAGCCCGCUCGCCGGAAGACCAAGGGUUCCUGUCCAACGUUAAUCGGGGCAGGGUGAGUCGACCCCUAAGGCGAGGCCGAAAGGCGUAGUCGAUGGGAAACAGGUUAAUAUUCCUGUACUUGGUGUUACUGCGAAGGGGGGACGGAGAAGGCUAUGUUAGCCGGGCGACGGUUGUCCCGGUUUAAGCAUGUAGGCGGAGGUUCCAGGUAAAUCCGGUACCUUAUUAACGCUGAGGUGUGAUGACGAGGCACUACGGUGCUGAAGUAACAAAUGCCCUGCUUCCAGGAAAAGCCUCUAAGCAUCAGGUAACACGAAAUCGUACCCCAAACCGACACAGGUGGUCAGGUAGAGAAUACCAAGGCGCUUGAGAGAACUCGGGUGAAGGAACUAGGCAAAAUGGUGCCGUAACUUCGGGAGAAGGCACGCUGAUAUGUAGGUGAAGCCCCUGCGGGUGGAGCUGAAAUCAGUCGAAGAUACCAGCUGGCUGCAACUGUUUAUUAAAAACACAGCACUGUGCAAACACGAAAGUGGACGUAUACGGUGUGACGCCUGCCCGGUGCCGGAAGGUUAAUUGAUGGGGUUAGCGGUAACGCGAAGCUCUUGAUCGAAGCCCCGGUAAACGGCGGCCGUAACUAUAACGGUCCUAAGGUAGCGAAAUUCCUUGUCGGGUAAGUUCCGACCUGCACGAAUGGCGUAAUGAUGGCCAGGCUGUCUCCACCCGAGACUCAGUGAAAUUGAACUCGCUGUGAAGAUGCAGUGUACCCGCGGCAAGACGGAAAGACCCCGUGAACCUUUACUAUAGCUUGACACUGAACACUGGUCCUUGAUGUGUAGGAUAGGUGGGAGGCUUUGAAGCGUGGACGCCAGUCUGCGUGGAGCCGACCUUGAAAUACCACCCUUUAAUGGCUGGUGUUCUAACGUAGACCCGUAAUCCGGGUUGCGGACAGUGUCUGGUGGGUAGUUUGACUGGGGCGGUCUCCUCCCAAAGAGUAACGGAGGAGCACGAAGGUUAGCUAAUCCUGGUCGGACAUCAGGAGGUUAGUGCAAUGGCAUAAGCUAGCUUGACUGCGAGAGUGACGGCUCGAGCAGGUGCGAAAGCAGGUCAUAGUGAUCCGGUGGUUCUGAAUGGAAGGGCCAUCGCUCAACGGAUAAAAGGUACUCCGGGGAUAACAGGCUGAUACCGCCCAAGAGUUCAUAUCGACGGCGGUGUUUGGCACCUCGAUGUCGGCUCAUCACAUCCUGGGGCUGAAGUAGGUCCCAAGGGUAUGGCUGUUCGCCAUUUAAAGUGGUACGCGAGCUGGGUUUAGAACGUCGUGAGACAGUUCGGUCCCUAUCUGCCGUGGGCGCUGGAGAAUUGAGGGGGGCUGCUCCUAGUACGAGAGGACCGGAGUGGACGCAUCACUGGUGUUCGGGUUGUCAUGCCAAUGGCACUGCCCGGUAGCUAAAUGCGGAAAAGAUAAGUGCUGAAAGCAUCUAAGCACGAAACUUGCCCCGAGAUGAGUUCUCCCUGACCCUUUAAGGGUCCUGAAGGAACGUUGAAGACUACGACGUUGAUAGGUCGGGUGUGUAAGCGCAGCGAUGCGUUGAGCUAACCGAUACUAAUGAACCGUGAGGCUUAACCU